ncrna:unclassified sequences ZMP/ZTP riboswitch
UAGACGCUGUGCAACUGACGGAAGUGGAUGACCACAGGGAGCACAGGGAAGAAGAGCCGACCGUCUGGGCACAGCCU